CACGUAGGGGGCGAGCGUUGUCCGGAUUUAUUGGGCGUAAAGAGCUCGUAGGCGGCUCAGUAAGUCGGGUGUGAAAACUCCAGGCUCAACCUGGAGACGCCACCUGAUACUGCUGUGGCUAGAGUCCGGUAGGGGAGCAUGGAAUUCCUGGUGUAGCGGUGAAAUGCGCAGAUAUCAGGAGGAACACCAGUGGCGAAGGCGGGUCUCUGGGCCGUAACUGACGCUGAGGAGCGAAAGCGUGGGGAGCGAACAGG
rnacentral:rRNA from 1 species